rnacentral:rRNA from 1 species
UACGUAGGGUGCGAGCGUUGUCCGGAAUUAUCGGGCGUAAAGAGCUCGUAGGCGGUGUGUCACGUCGGCCGUGAAAACCUGCAGCUUAACUGUGGGCGUGCGGUCGAUACGGGCAUCACUGGAGUUCGGCAGGGGAGACUGGAAUUCCUGGUGUAGCGGUGAAAUGCGCAGAUAUCAGGAGGAACACCGGUGGCGAAGGCGGGUCUCUGGGCCGAUACUGACGCUGAGGAGCGAAAGCGUGGGGAGCAAACAGG